AAGAGACUUAGAAAUUUUAGCUUUUUAAAUGUGUGGGCUGCUGAUAAGAUUUGGCUCUGUGUCCCCACCCAAAUCUCAUCUUGAAUUGUAAUCCCCCCAUGUCUAGGGAGGGACCUGGUGGGAGGUGAUUGGAUCAUGAAGGCGGUUUCUCCCAUGCUGUUCUCAUGACAGUGAGUGAGUUUUCCUGAGAGCUGAUGGUUUUAAGUGUGGCACUUCCUCAUUCGUUCACACUCUCUCCUGCCGCCUUGUGAAGAAGGUACACCCAUUGCAAUGCAACUUUGCAGAAAUCCCUUUCAAGAGAUCAAGUCUAUUUCCCACCCCUUGAAUCUGGACAGACUUUUGACUUACUUUGGCUAAUACGAUGCAGCAAAAGCAAUCCUGUGCCAGUUGAUCAAGAGGCCCAGCAGCUCCCACUGCCUUGGACCCCUGUCCUGCUGUCAUAUAAACAAAUAUGGGCUAGCCUGCUACAGGCUGAGAGACCAUGUGAAGCAGAACCAAGUUGUUCCAGUUGAAGCCAUCCAGAUCAUCCUAUAGCCAGCUGACCCCAAAACAUGUGACAGACCCCAGCCCAGAUCAGCAGAUCUGCCUAUCCAAUCUGCAGCUGACCUGAGACACAUGAGUGAGCCCAGCUAAGACUACAAGAACCAUCCAGCUGAUCUGAAAAUUCAUUAAUCAAAUCAAUGCUUAUUGUUGUUAGCUGUAUUGCUUUUCUAUUGCUUUGUAACAAAUUACCACAAAUUUAGUGGCUUAAAACAACACCCAUUUAUUAGCUCACAGUUCUGUAAGUUAGAAAUCUGGAUGGGUUCAGUGGGGUUAGAGUCUCCUUAGAGUCUCACAACCAGUAUUUAGCUUCACUGCUGAGCCAUGUAGUGUACUAUAUUAAUAUUUCCUUUCUUAUGCAACUUGGAGUUGAUAGCUGCUGGCUUUUUUUAUUCACUUAUUUUUAUUGAUACAUAAUAUUUGCAAUUUAUGGGGUACAUGUGAUAUUUUGAUUCCGGCACACAAGGUGUAAUAAUCAAGUCAGGGUGUUUAGAAUAUCCAUCACCUUGAACAUGUAUUAUUUCCUUGUGUUGGGAGCAUUUCAAAUCUAGCUAUUUUGACAUAUAUGGCUGUUAACUAUAGUCAUUCCACUGUGCUAUUGAAUACUAGAACAUAUUCCUUCUCUCUAACUGCAGGUUUGUACCCAUUAAUAAACCUUUCUUCAUCCUUCCACCCCCACUUUCCCAGCCUCUGGCAACUAAUAUAUACAUAAUAUCUAUCUAUUCCCUUGCUGGGUAGGGGAGGGACAGUUGCUGUGUGGGUUAGAAAAAUAGGCCAGGGAGCGGGUGGGAGAUCUCACAGCUCUUUCUACAAACUCUCGUCUAAAUCCAACAUCUAAAUCCAACACAUAAACACCCUAUUAUUUCUCUCAUAAAAGCAAAACAAAACCAAAUCCAAAAAGCCUCACUCCUACUCCACCUCCCGCCUUCUGAUCUCAUGUCUCCCUUCCAUUUGUAGCAAAACUUUUUGGAAGACCUUUCUUCUGUCCAAUAUGGCAGCCCCUAGCUACAUGUGGCUCUCGAGCACUUGCAGUGUAGCCAGCAAAAUCGAGGUGCAUUGUAAGGGUAAAAUAUACACCACAUUUCAAAGACAUCAUAUGAAAAACAAUGCAAACU
rnacentral:lncRNA from 1 species